rnacentral:piRNA from 1 species
UUGUCAUUUGGAGACUCCCCAGU